rnacentral:rRNA from 1 species
CACGUAGGCACCAAGCGUUAUCCGGAGUUACUGGGCGUAAAGCGCGGGCAGGCGGCCAACCAAGUCUGAUGUGAAAUCUCUUCGCUCAACGGAGAGAGGCCAUUGGAAACUGGUCGGCUGGAGGGCAGUAGAGGUAGGCGGAAUUCCGGGUGGAGUGGUGAAAUGCGUAGAGAUCCGGAGGAACACCAGAGGCGAAGGCGGCCUACUGGGCUGCACCUGACGCUGAGCCGCGAAAGCCAGGGGAGCGAACGGG